UCAUAAAUGCAUUCCUCUGAACUGUAUAUAAAGCGUAGCCGUGCUGUGAAGGUGUAGUACCACCAUCAGGAAAACUCCUCUUCAGUACUUACCUGUUCGUCAUGAUGAAGCUGAUCCUUUCUCUGACUCUCAUCUGGGCGCUCUCCAGCACGGCGGGAGCACUUCAGUGUGAAACUUGUACAACUCAGCAGUGUUCAACCACAGUACCAGUAACAUGUUCCUCAGAGACGUCUUGUAUACUAGCUGUCAUUCUAGGUAGUCAUUUAUUUGUCAUCUACAACUUCAACAGGGCAAAUCUACCAGGCGUGUGCAUCGUCCUCCCUUUGUCCAACCACAGGCACUCAGACGUAUUCAGUCAGCGUGGGUGGUGAGGGUGCAAUUGCAUUUGCUGAGUGCUGCAACACAGACAACUGCAACAUAGAAACUCUACCUUUCCCUGCUGAUCAG